CCUACGGGAGGCAGCAGUGAGGAAUAUUGGUCAAUGGACGCAAGUCUGAACCAGCCACGCCGCGUGCAGGAUGACGGCUCUAUGAGUUGUAAACUGCCUUUGUACGAGGGUACACCCCGAUACGUGUAUCGGGUUGAAUGUAUCGUACGUAUCAGGAUCGGCUAACUCAGUGCCAGCAGCCGCGGGAAUACGGAGGAUCCGGGCGUUAUCCGGAUUUAGUGGGUUUAAAGGGUUCGUAGGCGGGUUGAUAAGUUAGAGGUGAAAUGUCGGGGCUCAACCCCGAAACUGCAUUUCAUACUGUUGAACUAGAGAGUAGUAGCGGUAGGUGGAAUGUAAGGUGUAGCGGUGAAAUGCUUAGAGAUCAUACAGAACACCGAUUGCGAAGGCAGCUUACUAAACUAUAACUGACGUUGAGGCACGAAAGCGUGGGUAGCAAACAGGAUUAGAUACCCCGGUAGUC
rnacentral:rRNA from 1 species